AGUGAACGCUGGCGGUAGGCCUAACACAUGCAAGUCGAACGGCAGCACAGUAAGAGCUUGCUCUUACGGGUGGCGAGUGCGGACGGGUGAGGAAUACAUCGGAAUCUACUUUUUCGUGGGGGAUAACGUAGGGAAACUUACGCUAAUACCGCAUACGACCUACGGGUGAAAGCAGGGGUUCUUCGGACCUUGCGCGAUUGAAUGAGCCGAUGUCGGAUUAGCUAGUUGGCGGGGUAAAGGCCCACCAAGGCGACGAUCCGUAGCUGGUCUGAGGGGAUGAUCAGCCACACUGGAACUGAGACACGGUCCAGACUCCUACGGGAGGCAGCAGUGGGGAAUAUUGGACAAUGGGCGCAAGCCUGAUCCAGCCAUACCGCGUGGGUGAAGAAGGCCUUCGGGUUGUAAAGCCCUUUUGUUGGGAAAGAAAAGCAGCAGGUUAAUACCCCGCUGUUCUGACGGUACCCAAAGAAUAAGCACCGGCUAACUUCGUG
rnacentral:rRNA from 1 species